rnacentral:rRNA from 1 species
UACGGAGGAUCCAAGCGUUAUCCGGAAUCAUUGGGUUUAAAGGGUCCGUAGGUGGAUAAUUAAGUCAGAGGUGAAAUCUUGCAGCUCAACUGUAAAAUUGCCUUUGAUACUGUAGAACUUGAAUUAUUGUGAAGUAACUAGAAUAUGUAGUGUAGCGGUGAAAUGCUUAGAGAUUACAUGGAAUACCAAUUGCGAAGGCA